GAACCCACGCCAACAGUUGCCAGCAUGUCCUCCGGGAUGAUGGGGACACUGUUGGGACCGCCUCUGCUAAAGAGGAGGAAGGAAUGGGCAACGGUAGGUCAGCAUGCCCCGAAUUAUCCGGGCUACACGCGGGCUACAAUGGUCAGGACAAUGGGUAUCGACACCGAGAGGUGGAGGCAAUCUCCUAAACCUGUCCUUAGUUCGGAUUGUGGGCUGCAACUCGCCCACAUGAAGCUGGAAUCCGUAGUAAUCGCGUUUCAAAAUAGCGCGGUGAAUAUGUCCCUGCUCCUU
rnacentral:rRNA from 1 species